GGAAUAUAAGAAUCCGUCUCUUAACUUUUAACUAAAAAACUUAAGAACUGUCUCUUAAAAUUCUUAUUUAAGAGACGAUUUUUAGAUUUUUUAAUUAAAAGUUAAGAGUCAGGUUCUUAUAUUCC
rfam:Brassica oleracea var. oleracea cultivar TO1000 chromosome C7, whole genome shotgun sequence